rnacentral:rRNA from 1 species
UACGUAGGGGGCUAGCGUUGUCCGGAAUCAUUGGGCGUAAAGCGCGUGUAGGCGGUUCGAUAAGUCCGCUGUGAAAGUCGGGGGCUCAACCCUCGAAAGCCGGUGGAUACUGUCGGGCUAGAGUACGGAAGAGGCGAGUGGAAUUCCUGGUGUAGCGGUGAAAUGCGCAGAUAUCAGGAGGAACACCAAUUGCGAAGGCAGCUCGCUGGGACGUUACUGACGCUGAGACGCGAAAGCGUGGGGAGCAAACAGG